GAUGCCGAUGCUGCUCCGGGCGGCGGCCGUUGCGGCAGCUGCUGCUCCGUCAAACCUGUUGCUGUGUUCCUGCGGCGGCGCGUCUGGAUGGUGUCGACCGGACCAGGGCAGCAAGACUAGCGGCAGCUGGUUCGCGGGCGGCGACGGGCGGCAGGCUCGCGACGCCGGCGAGCAGCAGCGCAGUGGGAGGGAUUCGAAGGUGUGAGCGUCUGCUAGUACAUAGAGUCGUGUAGCUCGUUUGGGAGACGUCGGAGGCGGAGGGGGCGAACACCGGGUGGCGGUGGGGAAGGACCGGUCGGCGGUUAAUGGGAAUCGGACUGCUCGGGCGCACCGCGAAGGGCACGGCGGCGAAGGCGAGCAGCGGUAUAGUUUCUGGCUGAAACGCCCUUCCGC
rnacentral:lncRNA from 1 species